GUCUUUUUGGGUUCAUCUUGUUUGGGACUCUCGGUGCUUGUGUGACUUUUUUCUUCCCCACAUCAGGGAAGUUUUCUGACAAUAUUUCUUUGAAUAGGUUUUCUAAGCCUUGUUCCUCUUGCUGUUGUUCUGGCACCCCUAUUAUUCGUAUGUUGCUUCAUUUUAUGUUGUCCCAUAGCUCCC